CUUUUUGCGGUCUGGGCUUGCUGUCUAUGACCACCCAGGAAGCCCUUACCCCAAAAAGCAU
rnacentral:pre_miRNA from 1 species